rnacentral:rRNA from 1 species
AAAGAAACCAACAGGGAUUGCCUUAGUAACGGCGAGUGAAGCGGCAAAAGCUCAAAUUUGAAAUCUGGGGUCUUUGGCCUCCGAGUUGUAAUUUGAAGAAAGUAUCUUUGGAUUUAGCCUUUUUCUAAGUUCCUUGGAACAGGACUUCAUAGAGGGUGAGAAUCCCGUAUGGAGAAGUGUCUAUUUCUAUGUAAAGUGCUUUCGACGAGUCGAGUUGUUUGGGAAUGCAGCUCUAAGUGGGUGGUAAAUUCCAUCUAAAGCUAAAUAUUGGCGAGAGACCGAUAGCGAACAAGUACAGUGAUGGAAAGAUGAAAAGAACUUUGAAAAGAGAGUGAAAAAGUACGUGAAAUUGUUAAAAGGGAAGGGCUUCAGAUCAGACUUGAUGUUUAGUGAUCCAUCUUCCUUUUUGGUUGGUGCACGCGCUUUUCAUUGGGCCAACAUCGAUUUGAGUGGUAGGAUAAUGCCGUUGGAAUGUAGCUUCAUUCGUGAAGUGUUAUAGACUUCGGUGAUACUGCCCAUUUGGAUCGAGGACUGCGUCUUUUGACUAGGAUGUUGGCGUAAUGAUCUGAAGCCGCCCGUCUU